rnacentral:misc_RNA from 1 species
AACGCACAUUGCGCUCGCCAGUAUUCUGGCGAGCAUGCCUGUUCGAGCGUCAUUUCAACCAUCAAGCUCUGCUUGCGUUGGGGAUCCGCGUCUGACGCGGUCCCUCAAAAACAGUGGCGGGCUCGCUAGUCACACCGAGCGUAGUAACUCUACAUCGCUAUGGUCGUGCGGCGGGUUCUUGCCGUAAAACCCCCAAUUUCUAAGGUUGACCUCGGAUCAGGUAGGAAUACCCGCUGAACUUAA